CUAAUGGAUCCUGAGGAAUGACCCAUCUCAAAGUGCCUCAGUUCUCCACUGUACAAUGGGCUACCACACCCUCUGCAGCUCCUAGCCUUCUGCUGGAUGCUCUACAGAAGCUUCAGUCUCGUUCGCCAGUUGAAGAGAAGACACAAAUUUAAAGAGGAAGAGCAGAAUGUGAUCAGCCUUGGCAUCAUGUGAGGACAAACCAGGAAAGGAUCUUGGAGAAAGAAAGGAAAGGAGACAUCUGUGGUAAACAUGGUUUGGAACAAGCUUCUGCUAAGAGCCUCUGGCAAGAGAUGAGAGCCUUCCACCACAAUAUCAUUAUUUCCCGUUAGCAAAUUCAGAUUUCAAGACUGCUCUCAGGAGACCACUGUCCUGCUACCAUGAAUCACCAGCAUCACUGAAUGACCUUCUGCAAGUCCUACAGCAAGUCUGUGCCUUGCAUUCAAGCAGAAAAUAAGGCUUCAUUAGCCACUCUCAAUGUCAAGCCCAGUAGCACAAGAAAUGAAAGGCUGAGCUGUUUAUCUGUUGCAAGUACCAUAAAAGCACAGCUUUCUUCCACCUCCCUCUUAAUUUUUCCCCUUCAAUAUACCUGUACUGCAUUAGGAACCCAUAGAUCGUUGCUCCAUUGGGGUAAAUGCUCUGUAAAUGCAUACAAUCAAUCUUCACUGUAGACUUAGACUUUUACUCACAGUUGCCCCACACAGCAUUUAUGUUUGCACAGUAGUGUGGUAGAGUUAUCAACUUAAGCUAACAGGCCUAACUGAGGCUAAAAGGGGAACCCUGACUGACUGGGAAGGUCCCAGAGGGGAUCAGCUAGCUGCACAUAAUUUGCACAAAGUGAACUAGUCAGAGUUGGUAUGGAAACUCAGUGCUCUGGAGACCAGAUCAGAAGACUGCAUUACGUAUUCACAUUGCCAUUUCCCCAAGGAAUCCCCCUUUUUCCUCUCUCUCUAAACCUCACAGACUUUCUUAUUCUUUUUCUUCCCAUGCAGUCUUU